GAACGGGUGAGUACACGUGGGUGAUCUGCCCUGCACUUUGGGAUAAGCCUGGGAAACUGGGUCUAAUACCGAAUAGGACCACGCACUUCAUGGUGUGUGGUGGAAAGCUUUUGCGGUGUGGGAUGGGCCCNCNNNCUAUCAACUUGUUGGUGGGGUAAUGGCCUACCAAGGCGACGACGGGUAGCCGGCCUGAGAGGGUGACCGGCCACACUGGGACUGAGAUACGGCCCAGACUCCUACGGGAGGCAGCAGUGGGGAAUAUUGCACAAUGGGCGCAAGCCUGAUGCAGCGACGCCGCGUGAGGGAUGACGGCCUUCGGGUUGUAAACCUCUUUCAAUAGGGACGAAGCGCAAGUGACGGUACCUAUAGAAGAAGCACCGGCCAACUACGUGCCAGCAGCCGCGGUAAUACGUAGGGUGCGAGCGUUGUCCGGAAUUACUGGGCGUAAAGAGCUCGUAGGUGGUUUGUCGCGUUGUUCGUGAAAACUCACAGCUUAACUGUGGGCGUGCGGGCGAUACGGGCAGACUAGAGUACUGCAGGGGAGACUGGAAUUCCUGGUGUAGCGGUGGAAUGCGCAGAUAUCAGGAGGAACACCGGUGGCGAAGGCGGGUCUCUGGGCAGUAACUGACGCUGAGGAGCGAAAGCGUGGGGAGCGAACAGGAUUAGAUACCCUGGUAGUCCACGCCGUAAACGGUGGGUACUAGGUGUGGGUUCCUUCCUUGGGAUCCGUGCCGUAGCUAACGCAUUAAGUACCCCGCCUGGGGAGUACGGCCGCAAGGCUAAAACUCAAAG
rnacentral:rRNA from 1 species